GACGAACGCUGGCGGCGUGCUUAACACAUGCAAGUCGAACGGAAAGGCCUUUUCGGAGGUACUCGAGUGGCGAACGGGUGAGUAACACGUGGGUGAUCUGCCCUGCACUCUGGGAUAAGCCUGGGAAACUGGGUCUAAUACCGGAUAGGACCGCACUUUAGUGUGUGUGGUGGAAAGUUUUUUCGGUGUAGGAUGAGCCCGCGGCCUAUCAGCUUGUUGGUGGGGUAAUGGCCUACCAAGGCGGCGACGGGUAGCCGGACUGAGAGGUUGGUCGGCCACAUUGGGACUGAGAUACGGCCCAGACUCCUACGGGAGGCAGCAGUGGGGAAUAUUGCACAAUGGGCGCAAGCCUGAUGCAGCGACGCCGCGUGGGGAAUGACGGCCUUCGGGUUGUAAACUCCUUUCGCCAGGGACGAAGCGUUUUGUGACGGUACCUGGAGAAGAAGCACCGGCUAACUACGUG
rnacentral:rRNA from 1 species